UAAGGAAUCUUCCGCAAUGGGCGCAAGCCUGACGGAGCGACGCCGCGUGCAUGACGAAGCCCUUCGGGGUGUAAAAUGCUUUUCUCCGGGACGAUGCAAGACGGUACCGGGGGAAGAAGCCUCGGCUAACUACGUGCCAGCAGCCGCGGUAAUACGUAGGAGGCGAGCGUUGUCCGGAAUCACUGGGCGUAAAGCGCGUGUAGGCGGGAAGGCAAGUCUGCUGUGAAAGCGCCUGGCUUAACCGGGCGAGGUCGGCGGAAACUGCUUACCUGGAGGACGGUAGAGGGGGGUGGAAUUCCCGGUGUAGUGGUGAAAUGCGUAGAGAUCGGGAGGAACACCUGUGGCGAAGGCGGCCCCCUGGGCCGGCCCUGACGCUGAGACGCGAAGGCGUGGGGAGCGAACGG
rnacentral:rRNA from 1 species